rnacentral:rRNA from 1 species
GACGAACGCUGGCGGCGUGCUUAACACAUGCAAGUCGAACGGAAAGGCCCUGCUUUUGUGGGGUGCUCGAGUGGCGAACGGGUGAGUAACACGUGAGUAACCUGCCCUUGACUUUGGGAUAACUUCAGGAAACUGGGGCUAAUACCGGAUAGGAGCUCCCGCUGCAUGGCGGGGGUUGGAAAGUUUCGGCGGUUGGGGAUGGACUCGCGGCUUAUCAGCUUGUUGGUGGGGUAGUGGCUUACCAAGGCUUUGACGGGUAGCCGGCCUGAGAGGGUGACCGGCCACAUUGGGACUGAGAUACGGCCCAGACUCCUACGGGAGGCAGCAGUGGGGAAUAUUGCACAAUGGGCGGAAGCCUGAUGCAGCAACGCCGCGUGCGGGAUGACGGCCUUCGGGUUGUAAACCGCUUUCGCCUGUGACGAAGCGUGAGUGACGGUAAUGGGUAAAGAAGCACCGGCUAACUACGUG